CCCGGCUCCGGCCCCCAGCUCUGGCACUGGCUCUCCACCUCUCACGGAAAGGUCGCGGCCUGUGGCCCUGCGGGCAGCCGUGCGGAGAUGAACCCCAGCGCCCCCAGCUACCCCAUGGCCUCGCUCUAAGUGGGGGACCUCCACCCCGACGUGACCCAGGCGAUGCUCUACGAGAAGUUCAGCCCGGCUGGGCCCAUCCUCUCCAUCUGGGUCUGCAGGGACAUGAUCACCCGCGGCUCCUUGGGCUACGGGUAUGUGAACUUCCAGCAGCUGGCGGACGCCGAGCGUGCUUUGGACACCGUGAAUUUUGAUGUUAUAAAGGGCAAACCAGUACGCAUCAUGUGGUCUCAGCGUGAUCCAUCACUUUGCAAAAGUGGAGUAGGCAACAUAUUCAUUAAAAAUCUGGACAAAUCCAUUGAUAAUAAAGCACUGUAUGAUACAUUUUCUGCUUUUGGUAACAUCCUUUCGUGUAAGGUGGUUUGUGAUGAAAAUGGUUCCAAGGGCUAUGGAUUUGUACACUUUGAGACGCAAGAAGCAGCUGAAUGAGCUAUUGAAAAAAUGAAUGGAAUGCUCCUAAAUGAUCGCAAAGUAUUUGCUGGACGAUUUAGGUCUGGUAAAGAACGAGAAGCUGAACUCGGAGCUAGGGCAAAAGAAUUCACCAAUGUUUACAUCAAGAAUUUUGGAGAAGACAUGGAUGAUGAGCGCCUUAAGGAUCUCUUUGGCAAGUUUGGGCCUGCCUUAAGUGUGAAAGUUAUGACUGAUGAAAGUGGAAAAUCCAAAGGAUUUGGAUUUGUAAGCUUUGAAAGGCAUGAAGAUGCACAGAAAGCUGUGGAUGAGAUGAAUGGAAAGGAGCUCAAUGGAAAACAAAUUUACGUUGGUGGAGCUCAGAAAAAGGUGAAACGGCAGACGGAACUUAAACGCAAAUUUGAACAGAUGAAGCAAGAUAGGAUCACCAGAUACCAGGGUGUUAAUCUUUAUGUGAAAAAUCUUGAUGAUGGUAUUGAUGAUGAAAGUCUCCGGAAAGAGUUUUCUCCAUUUGGUACAAUCACUAGUGCAAAGGUUAUGAUGGAGGGUGGUCACAGCAAAGGGUUUGGUUUUGUAUGUUUCUCCUCCCCAGAAGAAGCCACUAAAGCAGUUACAGAAAUGAACGGUAGAAUUGUGGACACAAAGCCAUUGUAUGUAGCUUUAGCUCAGCGCAAAGAAGAGCACCAGGCUCACCUCACUAACCAGUGUAUGCAGAGAAUGGCAAGUGUACGAGCUGUGCCCAACCCUGUAAUCAACCCUUACCAGCCAGCACCUCCUUCAGGUUACUUCAUGGCAGCUAUCCCACAGACUGAGAACCGUGCUGCAUACUAUCCUCCUAGCCAAAUUGCUCAACUAAGACCAAGUCCUCCCUGGACUGCUCAGGGUGCCAGACCUCAUCCAUUCCAAAAUAUGCCCGGUGCUAUCCGCCCAGCUGCUCCUACACCACCAUUUAGUACUAUGAGACCAGCUUCUUCACAGGUUCCACGAGUCAUGUCAACACAGCGUGUUGCUAACACAUCAACACAGACAGUGGGUCCACGUCCUGCAGCUGCAGCUGCUGCAGCUACUCCUGCUGUCCGCACCGUUCCACAGUAUAAAUAUGCUGCAGGAGUUCGCAAUCCUCAGCAACAUCUUAAUGCACAGCCACAAGUUACAAUGCAACAGCCUGCUGUUCAUGUACAAGGUCAGGAACCUUUGACUGCUUCCAUGUUGGCAUCUGCCCCUCCUCAAGAGCAAAAGCAAAUGUUGGGUGAACGGCUGUUUCCUCUUAUUCAAGCCAUGCACCCUACUCUUGCCGGUAAAAUCACUGGCAUGUUGUUGGAGAUUGAUAAUUCAGAACUUCUUCAUAUGCUCGAGUCUCCUGAGUCACUCCGUUCUAAGGUUGAUGAAGCUGUAGCUGUACUACAAGCCCACCAAGCUAAAGAGGCUGCCCAGAAAGCAGUUAACAGUGCCACUGGUGUUCCAACUGUUUACAAUUGAUCAGGGACCACGAAAAGAAACUUGUGCUUCACCGAAGAAAAAUAUCUAAACAUCGAAAAACUUGAAUAUUAUGGGGAAAAAAAAAUUGCAAAAUAUAAAACAGAUAAAAAAAGGAAAGGAAACUUUGAACCUUAUGUACCGAGCAAAUGCCAGGUCUAGCAAGCAUAAUGCUAGUCCUAGAUUACUUAUUGAUUUAAAAACAAAACAAAACAAAAAACACAAAAAAAUAGUAAAAUAUAAAAA